AUGACUUCUUGACAAACACCAUCAUGCUGAACACCCCCCACCCUUCCUCCUUCUUUAUCCCAGCUUUUAUUUCUGAACAUGAUGUCAUAUGGUAUGGAAUAUCUCUCUGGUCAGCCUGGGUAAGCUGUCCUGGCUGUGUUCCCGCCUAGCUUUUUGUGCAACCCCACUGGCCGGGCAGCACAAGAAACAUAAAAGUCCUUGACUCUGUGUAAGCACUGCCCAGCUGCAACUAAAACUUUGUGUGUUAACACUAUUUUCAUCCUAAAUCCAACAAAGAGCAUCAUAUAAAUCAAAGAAGCUUAUAUGAAGAAAAUUAGCACUACCUCAUCCGAGACCAUGACAACCAGUUUUUAUACAAAGCUUCAGAAAGUAAAGUUCCAUACAAGUGAAAGGAUGUUACAAAGUUUUCAAUGAAUCCUGAGGCUCAUGCUUCAGUUGGAUCAUGACUCCUGAAUCUCUCAGUUUUCCUUCAGCACGAAAAGGAGAGGCAACUUUAUCUCUUCGGCACAAGACAUGGAUGACACAGUCUAUGCUCUUCAUGACUGACACACAUAGUGGUCAGGACAAAACAGUAAGUCAUCUUACACUCACAGUCUAAUAUAUAAUUCCAUGGAGUUAAACUGAGCUUGCAGAAUUUCAUACAAGUCAAAUACCUACUGUUUGCUAUUCUUAUUCAACAUCAUAUGCAAGAGGCUACUAAAAGUUUCUUAUACUUAUUUGAGAUAUAUCCC
rnacentral:lncRNA from 1 species